AACAAAUUUUGUUUCAGAAAAAAAUGAUUCAUUGCCCUCCCUAAAAUGCUUAUAUUCUUUCUGAAUAAUUCAUGAAUACGAUUGCAUAGCAUUUUAUUUAUAUACCAAAAGGUCCAAUCCCAUUGUACACCUGGUUGGUUCGUUUUAAGGGCACACCAGUGUUCAAUGUUUAAUCGAAAGCAGGUAGGGGAAAUCUUUAUUUAAUGAAAAUAUGCUAUUCCCUGUUUUGCUUACUUAUUUAAACCAAAUGCUUUACAGGAAAAUAUACAUCAAGGAUUUCGCGAAUGUGUGCCUAUGUACUUUUGACAACACAAUGUGCUUCAUUGAAUUUUACAUAUUUUCCAGUAAAAAACAAAAAACAUUUAUUUUAAAAUCCAAAGCACAGGAAAGAAAACACAGUGUGCCAAACAACAGCCGCAACAAACCAAUUGAUCAUUCCAAAGAAACAAACCCUUUCAAAAGAAUGCAAUAAAGCUCAAAGCCCAUAGAAACACAGCAUGAAAAAAGGUUCACAUACACACAGUCACAAAACAAGUCUUACAUACAAAGUAGGAACAAAAAAAAAACAACAGUCAUAAAAAGGCAAAUACAUCAUUCAGGUUCUUGUUAGUAGUCUCUUGUUUGUGUGUGGACUAGAUAAUCAGUUCUUUCCAGUGGUCCAUCCCCCAUUUCAAUGUCCACAACUUAUCCAGAAAGGGCCGGCGUUGAUGCAGGCUUUCUCUCCAACUAAGCAGCAACACACCUGAUUCUACUAAUCAAUCAGAGUCGUUGCUAAGCACCUUGAUUAGUAGAAUCAGGUGUGUUGCUGCCUAGUUGGAACAGAAGCCCGCACCCACACCGGCCCUUUAUGGAUAAGACUGAGGGCAACGGGUCCACAACCACACUGUCCUGGAAGAGGUUCAGGAUCGUACUCUGUGACGGCUCGCCUACUACACUUGCCCAGUUUUGUUGGCCGCUCUCGGUUUCCUGAACAGGAGGCUGGUGGGCGGAGCUGAGACGAGACCACCUGAGCUGCGUUGUGCCUGAUUGAAGUCUUUCGCCCAUUCUAGUGUGGCUUGGUGGUUUGCUCACUUGCCCUCUCUCCCGAUCGCAAGUCAAACAAGUCUUGGCACCCCUGGCCUGCAGACUUACCACACCUCAUUGCUUUCCUUCAUUUUUGUAAGCCUACAUGUUUUGUUUAAUAAAAUAAAGAAUUAUUUGCCCUGUAA